rnacentral:rRNA from 1 species
UACGAAGGGGGCUAGCGUUGCUCGGAAUCACUGGGCGUAAAGCGCACGUAGGCGGUCCGAUAAGUCGGCUGUGAAAGUCAGGGCUCAACCCUUGAAAGCCGGCCGAUACUGUCGGACUAGAGUCCGGAAGAGGCAAGUGGAAUUCCCGGUGUAGCGGUGAAAUGCGCAGAUAUCGGGAGGAACACCAAUGGCGAAGGCAGCUGCUGGACGGUACUGACGCUGAGGCGCGAAAGCGUGGGGAGCAAACAGGAUUAAGAAACCCCAGUAACGUC